GGAGGGAGGAAGGAGGCGGGGACCAGCAGGCGAGGCGAGGCGGAGCGGGGAGGAGGUAGGAUGGGGGCGGCCUUAGUGAGCCCCAGGCGGGCUCGGCGAAGCCAACGGCCACGGGCGGAUCGAGGCGCGGAAAUCGAGCCCCGCCAGUCAAGGACCCGGCCGCUCAGCAGCGGAAAAGGCGGCUGGGCGCUGAGCCUGGUCCGCGGGGGAGAAAAGGAAUCUUGCUGGUUCAAGGGGAGAAACAACCCCUCCCGCGCCUUGUCUGGGUCUCCCCCUCCUCCUCUGCCCCCUUCGCCUGGGGCGGGGGUCGCAGCGCAAAUCCCUUGACAAAGAGCAGCGGCGCCCUGCUUCCCUCCAGCGCGCCCCUCCGCUGACUCCGGUUCGCGGAGGCCAAGACUUUUUUGAGGGGCGGGAGAGACGCCUUGCGAUCAGCAACCGCCCGCACGACUGCCAGCGAAUCUCUCCUGCAAACAACCGUCCCCCAAACCAGAGAAAUAUAACGUUCUGCCUCGAGUAGCACACUGGUGCCGCAAAGAUAGUAGAGACGUUUCGUUGGAGCGUGAGAACGCGCCGCUUGAACAUGUGCAGAGUGCAGAGCAAACAAUCCUCACAAAGCUGCAAUUUUCACUAGGGGGAGGAAAUGAUAGUACCUCAGCACUGUCUUCCUCCUAGGCAUACAAAACAACCACUAUUAUAAAUUGCUGGCGUUGGGUUUUUCCAGAAGAGGGCAGGGGAAAUAACUUGCAGAUGAGCUUAUUAAUAUGAUGGAACAGGGGAGGUACCUGUGCAGAGUAAAUCCCUCUUCCUUAGCUCUUAUUUGCUAUCCAGCAAUUGGCUAAGGAGUUGCAGGUCAUUUAAAUCUCCUGCAACCUUACAGCUUUGACAACACUGUGUAUGAAAGCAUCCUCACUUCCAUUUUUUUUAAGCACAGGUGUGCACGUGUGAGAAAACAGCAGGACAGAGUCAAGAUGUGUCUUUAUGUGGAAAUAUCUGCACAAAGUGGCACACUACUCAAAAUAGCCUCAGAAAAUAGGAUAGUUAUGGAGAUUUUGCAGCAAUCUUCCUCAAACUGGUACCCACUAGAUGUCAAAAGACUACAACUCCCAUCAACCCGAGCAAGGCAUGGCUGAUUUACAGGCACAAAGUUUUUCACAGGGAGGUGCUCCUCCGCAACCACAGCCAGGAGCAUUAAAGUUAUCCCAGUGCUGA